rnacentral:rRNA from 1 species
UACGGAGGGUGCGAGCGUUGUUCGGAAUUACUGGGCGUAAAGCGCGUGUAGGCGGCCACCUAAGUCUGGUGUGAAAUCCCGGGGCUUACCCCCGGAAGUGCACUGGAAACUGGGCGGCUAGAGUACUGGAGAGGAGGGUGGAAUUCCUGGUGUAGCGGUGAAAUGCGUAGAUAUCAGGAAGAACACCGGUGGCGAAGGCGGCCCUCUGGGACGGUACUGACGCUGAGACGCGAAAGCGUGGGGAGCGAACAGG